rnacentral:rRNA from 1 species
CCUACGGGAGGCAGCAGUGGGGAAUAUUGCGCAAUGGGCGAAAGCCUGACGCAGCGACGCCGCGUGAGGGAUGAAGGUCUUCGGAUCGUAAACCUCUGUCAGCAGGGAAGAACGGGCACUGUGCUAAUCAGCAGUGAAUUGACGGUACCUGCAAAGGAAGCACCGGCUAACUCCGUGCCAGCAGCCGCGGUAAUACGGCGGGUGCGAGCGUUAAUCGGAAUUACUGGGCGUAAAGCGCGCGUAGGCGGUAUGUCAAGUCAAGGGUGAAAUCCCCGGGCUCAACGGGGGAACUGCCUUUGAAACUGGCAGACUGGAGUGUGUGAGAGGAUAGUGGAAUUCCAGGUGUAGGGGUGAAAUCCGUAGAUAUCUGGAGGAACAUCAGUGGCGAAGGCGACUAUCUGGCACAUAACUGACGCUGAGGAGCGAAAGCGUGGGUAGCAAACAGGAUUAGAUACCCUUGUAGUC